rnacentral:rRNA from 1 species
AGGAAUAUUGGUCAAUGGGCGGGAGCCUGAACCAGCCAAGUCGCGUGAGGGAAGACGGUCCUACGGAUUGUAAACCUCUUUUGCCGGGGAGCAACGGGGUCCUUGCGAGGGCCCAAUGAGAGUACCCGGAGAAAAAGCAUCGGCUAACUCCGUGCCAGCAGCCGCGGUAAUACGGAGGAUGCGAGCGUUAUCCGGAUUUAUUGGGUUUAAAGGGUGCGUAGGCGGUUACUUAAGUCAGCGGUCAAAUGGCGGGGCUCAACCCCGUCCAGCCGUUGAAACUGGGUAGCUUGAGUCGGCGAGAAGUACGCGGAAUGCGCGGUGUAGCGGUGAAAUGCAUAGAUAUCGCGCAGAACUCCGAUUGCGAAGGCAGCGUACCGGCGCCGCACUGACGCUGAGGCACGAAAGCGUGGGUAUCGAACAGG